UAAAAAAAAAAAAAAAAUUUUACCCGAAGGCGAGAAAAAGAAAAAAAAAAAAAAAAAAAUGAAAAAGAAAAAAUUAAAUUAACUGCAAGACUAAAAAAAAUCACAGGAAAAAAGCCAUGAGUUCCGUGCUUGGCUUUCUCCUCCUCUGGAAUUCUGCUGCUCUCCUUGGUAUUGAAACCGCACUCCUUGGAGCUUUUGUUCCCUGAGCGCUUUCCGUAGAGUUCCAGAGGACGGGAAUACAAAUGGCGGCCUCCUGGUCUCCGGCCCGGAGGAGCCGAGAGCCCAGGGCCCCACUCCUCAGUGCGCCCUCAGAGAACAGCGCCCAGUUACUCCCGUCUGCCUGACCUCCGGCCGCGCUCCGAGCUCACCGAGCCUGCGACCGGUUCAAGAAUUGCUGUUCUUCUUCUCUUCGAUCUGCCGAUGGAUUUUCAGGUGUUUGCAAUCUUUAGAUAAGCUAUCUAGCUGAUCUCCGGCUAGCUGAAGCAGUCUCAGCUUGCUACUUCUCCGCCAU